CUUUUCUAUUUUUAUAUAUUUAAAAAUAUAAAUUAUUCCUGUUAAAAUCAUUUGAAUAUGCUGAUUUGGAGCUCAGGACACACUUGGACACACCAAUUUAUACUUCUGCGUCCGGUGCACAUUGACGUGUACCAUACGUCGUACCCUUCGCCGUACCCUGACGCGCACCUCCUCAAAAAUGUAACUACGCGUCGCAACGACUGCAAGAUCUGUGAUUGGUCGGCUUGGUAGUAUCACGUUUCCUCCUACGCAUUUCCGGAAUGAUCUUCUGCACUCUGGACUGCCCGCCAUUUUUAAAUUCCGAAAUUCAGUGAAGAGCCAACAUGGAAAUGGACCAAGUGACCGAGCGAUUAAUUAAAGAAGUGAGGAAAUACAGCCAGCAUGAUCCGCUCUCUUUCAGUCGCCAUUGUUCGUAGAAGCCCGCGAGGAUCGAGGAAUGUAAACACAGUGGAACCCGCUCGCGUCAACUAGCGUUUCGGCGGUGAAACUGCAGAGCAAAACAGACAUACGCAGAAGUAUAAAUGCUUACGACGGCGUCGCCUACGUGCGUAGCCUACGACGUACACUACGCCGUACACUCGACGCAGAAGUAUAAAUUGGCCUUAUUAUCAGUGUUAAAAACAGUUACAGGUCAGCUGAAUUCAUAUGCAACUCAUGAAGUCAACCAGCGCCAAUUCUUCAAUUCAGAAUUUGGAACAACCCUGGUAAGAAGCAUAAGGGGAAAAAAAAAAACACUGGACUCGAAAGGGCAGAGUCCAUUUUCAAGAUUUCCUCCAAGUUGUGCAGACAUCACUACUUCAGUACAAAUGAUGGAUUUUACUGGCUGGGAGCGCUGAGCACACGUUUGGCCUUAUCGAAUGAAACAGCGCUGGAAUAUUUCACGUUGGUAAAUAUGUGAACAGUAAGGAAACAGGCCCUUGGGCCAAACUCUGCCAGAUCUGCUGGUCUCAGCACAGGCUUGGCUCUGACGGAACGUCUCAUUAAUGAGAGAAGAAAAUGUCACAUACAGGCAAGCGGGGCAAAGCAUUUUGACUUGCCCCAUAAAAGUCCACGUAAAAUAAUGAGAUUCCCUGUUACUUGCGUUUCUGUCCGUACUGCGCCACGCACACGAUUUAAAAAAUGGGUUGGGUAUUGUUUUAAGAUAAUUUGUAGUGUUUCCGAAUGAAAGUGCACACGCAGGUGAAAUGUGCGUCAUGAAAAUGCACAACCAGCACGUCCUUGACUUUUGUGUCAUAAAACAAAUAUCUAAAUGGAUUUCUGUGUAUUUUGGAAGAGUGAUGCAUAUUUUACACCUGUAAAUUAUUGAUUAAAAAGAAGAAUAUCAUGACAUUAUAAUCCAUGAUUAGAGAAGUGGUUUUGUCAUAAAAUUGUUUUGAAUAUAAAAUUGAGAAUAUUAAUGCAUGAUGAAGAUCAAGGUGAUGAAGCAAUUUUCUAUCAUUUAAAAAGGAUAUAAAAGUUUUAUGCUGUGACGUCAAACCACAAAAGCAUGAUGUAUUGUAUGAAAUGGUAUGCUUUACAGCUCGAACAAUAAACAAGAUUUAACAGACGAAUUGAUGAGGUGC
ensembl:lncRNA